GCAUUUUCACCAAAAAAGGUAAUUGAAGCUUUUAAUAAUUCCUUAUAUGUGAAAACCCAAUGUUGAAGCUUCAUUCAGAAUUACAGCGCUACCUCGACCAGAAUUUUCAAAUCUUUUCAAACUCCGAUGCCAGUGUUAAUGGACAGAGAUUUACGACUUCACGGUUCAAAUCUUGUUUACUAUUAGUUUGCAAAAGUUGAACCUAUGUUUUCGAGAAGAUAUCCGCAGAAAGUGUUUCCGUAUUUCAGUCGAAAAGGCUACAACGUGAGAGAUGCGGUUAUCUGCGAGAGAAUUAAACUGUAUUAAAGCAUAACGACUCAUUCUGCCGCAAAAACGUCAUCCACAGUGAUUAAACUGUUUACGUAAGAUGGACCAUUCGGCAAGUUUAUCUGUCAUCGUUUGGUCAGAUUGUACUGCUCGCUUUAUCGUGUCCACGAUUCGUCAUCGUCCGCAACUGACAAACUACCAGUGACACGAACAAGAGCGUACGCGUUGAUAAUACAGGCACAAUCCAUAAUAACAUAAUCGGAACAGAAAGAAGAAAGCGUUAAAAAUGAAACCUGAAGCAGUCUUUUUAUUACAUUAGAAAAAUGGAUAAAACGGAGAUGAGUGAUAAUAUAAUUCUCGCAUAUUCGACAAUCAGAAAAGACUAAAUAUUAUAAGGAAGAAUAAUGGAAAACUAACGCAUAUAGACUUCCUACUGAAAUGUGUGGCGGAAACUGCUGGAUUACAUCCAAUUGAAGAUAUACAUAAAUUCAUCGCAAACAACAUCAUUCAGUUGGCAAACUACAACCAAGGCUACACGUUUAUUACGAAAGCAUUUACCAGAUUAUACAUGUACUAAGCCACGUUGCUCUGUUUAAAAAGUAAUAUUCUAAAAGAAUUUAGGUAUUGGUGUUUAACAUGCGAAGUAUAUAAUCAUUUCACGUAUCAUUUUUUAAGCAAUAUCAUUCUGAAAGAAUAGAUUCAAUUUUUUAAUUAUUUUUAUUUCUUUUCAAGCAUAAAUUAGAAAAAUAUAAAUCUUUAAUUUUUGUAAAUACAGAUAAAUUUAAACAAUAAAAUCAUUAAUUUAAAAGUAAAGUGUUGUUCUUCCAUAGAAAUACUGUAAUACCUACGAGGCUAAUAAUAUCGAUGU